rnacentral:rRNA from 1 species
UACGUAGGGUGCAAGCGUUGUCCGGAAUUAUUGGGCGUAAAGAGCUCGUAGGCGGUCUGUCGCGUCUGCUGUGAAAACUCAGGGCUUAACCCUGAGCUUGCAGUGGGUACGGGCAGACUAGAGUGCGGUAGGGGAGACUGGAAUUCCUGGUGUAGCGGUGAAAUGCGCAGAUAUCAGGAGGAACACCGGUGGCGAAGGCGGGUCUCAGGGCAACAACUGACGCUGAGGAGCGAAAGCGUGGGGAGCGAACAGG